rnacentral:rRNA from 1 species
GCAGUCGACGAUGAACCACUUCGGUGGGGAUUAGUGGCGAACGGGUGAGUAACACGUGGGCAAUCUGCCCUGCACUCUGGGACAAGCCCUGGAAACGGGGUCUAAUACCGGAUACUGAUCCUCUUGGGCAUCUUGGAUGAUCGAAAGCUCCGGCGGUGCAGGAUGAGCCCGCGGCCUAUCAGCUUGUUGGUGAGGUAAUGGCUCACCAAGGCGACGACGGGUAGCCGGCCUGAGAGGGCGACCGGCCACACUGGGACUGAGACACGGCCCAGACUCCUACGGGAGGCAGCAGUGGGGAAUAUUGCACAAUGGGCGAAAGCCUGAUGCAGCGACGCCGCGUGAGGGAUGACGGCCUUCGGGUUGUAAACCUCUUUCAGCAGGGAAGAAGCGAAAGUGACGGUACCUGCAGAAGAAGCGCCGGCUAACUACGUGCCAGCAGCCGCGGUAAUACGUAGGGCGCGAGCGUUGUCCGGAAUUAUUGGGCGUAAAGAGCUCGUAGGCGGCUUGUCACGUCGGUUGUGAAAGCCCGGGGCUUAACCCCGGGUCUGCAGUCGAUACGGGCAGGCUAGAGUUCGGUAGGGGAGAUCGGAAUUCCUGGUGUAGCGGUGAAAUGCGCAGAUAUCAGGAGGAACACCGGUGGCGAAGGCGGAUCUCUGGGCCGAUACUGACGCUGAGGAGCGAAAGCGUGGGGAGCGAACAGGAUUAGAUACCCUGGUAGUCCACGCCGUAAACGGUGGGCACUAGGUGUGGGCGACAUUCCACGUCGUCCGUGCCGCAGCUAACGCAUUAAGUGCCCCGCCUGGGGAGUACGGCCGCAAGGCUAAAACUCAAA